UACGUAGGGGGCAAGCGUUGUCCGGAUUUAUUGGGCGUAAAGAGCGUGUAGGCGGCUAGGUAGGUCCGUUGUGAAAACUCGAGCUCAACCUCGAGACGCCGGUGGAAACCAUCUAGCUAGAGUCCGGAAGAGGAGAGUGGAAUUCCUGGUGUAGCGGUGAAAUGCGCAGAUAUCAGGAAGAACACCCGUGGCGAAGGCGGCUCUCUGGGACGUGACUGACGCUGAGACGCGAAAGCGUGGGGAGCGAACUGG
rnacentral:rRNA from 1 species